AUGGCGGCGACGCACCACCCGGCCUCCCCGACCGGCGCCGGCAAGUCCCCCUCCUCCUCCCCCUCGCCGCCGACGCCUGUGCGCCUGGCGGCGGCGCAGGCGGCGGCGGUGGCGGCGAUCCAGCCCAGCUCGCCGCGCUACUUCUUCUCCUCCCUCGCGGCCUCCUCCUCGCCGCACCGCCGCAUCGCCAUCGCCGUCGACCUGUCCGACGAGUCCGCCUUCGCCGUCAAGUGGGCCGUGCAGAACUACCUGCGCCCGGGCGACGCCGUGGUGCUCCUCCAUGUGCGCCCCACCUCCGUGCUCUACGGCGCCGACUGGGGCUCCAUCCCCGUCUCCGUCGACGACGGCGACGCGGAGGGGGAAGGAGGAGGCGCGGCGCCGGCGUCCGGGGACCCGGAGGAGGACGCGCGCAAGAAGCGGGAGGAGGACUUCGACGCCUUCACCUCCACCAAGUCGCAGGACCUGGCGCAGCCGCUCGUCGCCGCGCAGAUCCCCUUCAAGAUCCACAUCGUCAAGGACCACGACAUGAAGGAGCGCCUCUGCCUCGAGGCCGAGCGCCUCGGCCUCUCCGCCAUGAUCAUGGGCAGCCGCGGCUUCGGCGCCUCCCGCAGGGCAGGCAACGGCAGGCUCGGGAGUGUCAGCGACUACUGCGUGCACCACUGCGUCUGCCCCGUCGUGGUUGUCAGGUACCCUGAUGACGCCGGAGCGGCUGGCGGUGCCGAGUCUGUGGGGGAUGAGCUGCGGACGGUGCCUGAGAACGAGGUGGUGUUCCACGAGGCGCCAGAGGGUCAGAAAGAAAACUGA
rnacentral:rRNA from 1 species